rnacentral:lncRNA from 1 species
GAGAAACUAGAGAAAGUGAGAAAACCUUGAAAAGCUACUGGUUUAGCCGGAAAGUCACAGAUCUUACUCGAAUGACCAUCGAUGUCCGGAAAAUGGCAUGGGAAACCAUGGGAGGUGCGUGAACCCCCUUUGGUUCACUUGAAGGCCUCAAAAUGAAGAUACACGUUCAAGAGGGAUCCAUGAGCCUGGUAGGUGGUGAGACCACCAUGGGUUCAAGCAGGGAGAUGGCUGGAGAAGGUGGAUAAGGUUUAUUGGAGAGGAGGGGAGGGGAGAAGGUUCAAGAGAGAACCAGAGAUAGAGAGAGCGAG